rnacentral:lncRNA from 1 species
GAAAGAUGGAUAUCAAUGGAGAAAAUAUGGGCAAAAAGUGACUAGGGAUAAUCCCUCUCCAAGAGCUUACUAUAAGUGCUCCUUAUCCCCAUCUUGCCCUGUGAAGAAGAAGGUGAGAGAAAAUUAAUAAUCUCUCAAUAUUGGAAAAAAUGAAUUUUCAAACCCUUAAAUUAUGUGAGUUCGAAAAUAAUUAGCCUUUAAUUUGAAUCUCGGCGGCGAUGAUGUUGAUAGGUGCAAAGAAGCGCCGGCGAUCCAUCUCUUUUAGUUGCGAUUUACGAAGGGCAGCACAACCACCACCCCUCCGGUGCUGAAAUACCGGCGGCGACGGCGGCGGCGGCGGCGGAGGCCCCUGCAGCGGCAGCAAACAGUACUUAUCUGAGUGAUCCGACAAUAUGUAGUCGAAUUGAAAAUGAGGAGAGUGAAAUUCAGCAGGUUUUGGUUGAGCAGAUGGCGUCUUCGUUGACGAGAAAUCACAGCUUCACGGCGGCACUGGUGGCCGCCAUAACCGGCAGAAUAUUGGACGACGGAUCCGAGGAAAACGAUGACAGUUACUCCAUCUCAAGAGUGAUUUCUGAGUAGAAAUUAUCAAUUUGAUCAGUAAUUUUUUUUUUUUUUUUUGUUUUUUUGGGGGGGCUAACGUUGUCGAUUAUGGUUGUAGAUCUAACUAAGGAUUCAUUUUCAGUGCUUGUAAUAAAAUAAAAAUGAUUUUUUUUUUUUCCUCACAUCAGCAGUCUUAAGAAAAAUAACCAUAGCUCUCGAAGUCUAGCUACUUUGAUCAGUAGCUACUUUAUAGUUUUAUCUAAGGAGGAACACGUGCUUAAGCAUUUAUACUUUUUAUUUAUUUUUAUUGACUUACACCAUUUUUUUUUUUUUUGCAUUUGGCAACUUUGUAUUUUUCUUAUUUUUUCUAAUUUUCGCCCCAUGUAAUUUGAUUCCCUUUUGUUUUUCACCCUAUACUUUUUGUUUUCUUUGGGAGAGGAAAGGUCAANAUAUAUAUGCAGCAUGAUGAGCUGAUUCAGGAGCUGAGCAGGAUGAAAUGGGAGAACAAGAAGCUCACCGAAAUCCUCGCCGUUGUUUGCAGAAACUACCAUGAUUUCACCAAAAUCGAUUGCGUAGAGGAGCUCUACGCCUCGAAGGAAAAGAAAAAUCCGACCAGCUGCAAAGCUCCGGCCACAUUUCCGCGGCUGCUGCGGCGGCGGGGAAGUGCUCGCCGCCGGGCAGGCCGAGGGAGAUUAAGUCGAAUACCUCGCGAGUCCACGUGCGAAUCGAUCCGUCGGAUACAAGCCUCGUAAGUUUAACGGGCCGGGUCAAGAUUCGUUAAACGAUAUUUGAUUUUUGAAUUUUGAAUAUGUCUCGGUAUACAAUCUGAUACAAGACUCCUCGUGUGACUGACAAAUGUCGCGAUGGGUCAAGAUUUGAAUCCGAACUCCCUCUUAUUAAGUAGAGUUAUAGCAUAUUUGUAUAAUUAUAGUAUAAAAUAUUCAACGAGCGUGGAUUUGAAUCUUGACCUAUCUCAUCCAUCAUUUUUUGUGUUUAGUGAAAGUGUUACAAAAUGAAUGGAUUUGGUAAUGUUUCUUAUUUAGGGAAUUUUGAAUUGUAUAUAGGUUGUGAAAGAUGGAUAUCAAUGGAGAAAAUAUGGGCAAAAAGUGACUAGGGAUAAUCCCUCUCCAAGAGCUUACUAUAAGUGCUCCUUAUCCCCAUCUUGCCCUGUGAAGAAGAAGGUGAGAGAAAAUUAAUAAUCUCUCAAUAUUGGAAAAAAUGAAUUUUCAAACCCUUAAAUUAUGUGAGUUCGAAAAUAAUUAGCCUUUAAUUUGAAUCUCGGCGGCGAUGAUGUUGAUAGGUGCAAAGAAGCGCCGGCGAUCCAUCUCUUUUAGUCGCGAUUUACAAGGGCAGCACAACCACACCCCUCCGGUGCUGAAAUACCGGCGACGACGGCGACGGCGGCGGCGGAGGCCCCUGCAGCGGCAGCAAACAGUCCUUAUCUGAGUGAUCCGACAAUAUGUAGUCGAAUUGAAAAUGAGGAGAGUGAAAUUCAGCAGGUUUUGGUUGAGCAGAUGGCGUCUUCGUUGACGAGAAAUCACAGCUU